rnacentral:rRNA from 1 species
GUCUUUUUGUUAAAAAUUAAAAGUCGGGCCUGCCCACUGAGAUUUUUAAAUGGCCGUGGUAUUUUGACCGUGCUAAGGUAGCAUAAUCAUUAGUUUUUUAAUUGAAAGCUGGAAUGAAGGGUUUGAUAAAAAAAUAACUGUCUCUUUUUAAUUUUAUUAAAAUUUUAUUUUUAAGUUCAAAAGCUUAAUUUAUAUUAAAAGACGAGAAGACCCUAUAGAGUUUAAUAAUAAAAAAUAAUUUUUAUUUUAGAAUUUAUUUAUUUAUUAUUUAUAUUAUUUAAUUGGGGUGAUUGAAAAAUUUAAUUAACUUUUUUUAUAUUUAACCAUUUAUUUAUGAUUAUUUGAUCCUUUUUUGAUUAUAAGAUAAAAUUACCUUAGGGAUAACAGCGUAAUUUUUUUAGAAAGUUCAAAUUAAAAAAAAAGAUUGCGACCUCGAUGUUGGAUUAAAAUUAAAUUUUGGUGCAGAAGCUAAAAAUUUAAGUCUGUUCGACUUUUAAAAUU